UGAAGCUUCUGAGCUCAGCGUAGGAGUCGGAAGGGCCACCAGCCACUCUGCUUUUGUAAGAAGGGGCUGAGAAUAAGAGAGGUUGCCAAGAGAUGUGCUUGAGUAGGAAGAGACUGCCCUGGCAACAGCCAAAUCCAACCCUGGAUAGCCCUCAUGAAAGCCCCAAGACACUGAAGCUAUGCCGUGAAUAGGCAAGACCCCGGGGCUUACCUCCAGUCAGAGCCGAGAAGAUACUCAGUAAGAUAUGACUCCUGCUUUUCAAGUGUUCAUCUGCUUAACAACCCUCAGAGAUCACUCUGUACCGGAAA
rnacentral:lncRNA from 1 species